rnacentral:piRNA from 1 species
UGACCGAACCAACAUUACCAGUAUACUGGGUC